UAAAGUUAAUAGCUUUUUCUUUACAAAUUUCAGAACCAUAUUGGUGUUAUAGAUGGUAUAUAUAUUCGUAUAAAAAUCUCGACAAGUUUGUAAGAACUAUAUCGUAAUAGAAAACAAACUUUGUUAUAAAAUGUUAUGGUUGCUUAUGAUUUUGAUCUUCAUUUUGUAUAUGUAGGGCUGAGAAGGAUCGGCUUCUGAUGUGAGGAUAUUAUAAGAUUCACUUGACAACGAUUUUGAGGUUCCACCACUACAGAAAAAGUAGCUUGUAGCUACGCUUUUUUGCCGAUGCAUGCGUAGCGGGUCGGCACUUUUAACCAUCUGUCGUUAAUAUUGCGACUGUAACGCCUCGUGUCGCCAAGUUCCUGUGCGGGAACUUUUUCCCGUUCGCGCCUUGGGGUCCAGAGCAAAAAAAAUCUUCCAAAACCCACUUCUUUUUCCCCCGAAACCACAAAACCCACUUAUUUUUUCCCCGAAACCACAAAACCCACUUUUUUUUUCCCCCAAAACCACCAGAUUCUCCUCCUCUCUCUAGCUCUAUCCCUCUCCCUCUAUUAUUAGCAAAAACAGAGGGAAAGGUCGUCGCCGUUAGCCCUCACCGCGGCCGUCGCCAUUCGCCCUCAUCGCGGCCGUCGCCCUCACUGCGGCCGUCGCCAUUGCCGUCGCCGUUGCCGUCGUCGUCACUGUCGCCGUUGCUGCCGACUCUCCCUCGCUGCUCCAGUCGCCGCCGACUCUGCUUUCGCUUUGGAUUGUAGUUGCCCUAACUCUGCUUCCACCCCCUUCUUCUCCAAGGAAGAGCAAAGGCACUCAAGAAUUAGGGCUAAAUCUUUUUAAGUACGAAGCAUGCAUAUUGGAGGAUUUUUGCAAUCUUCAACUGAAAAAUACAACCUUUGGCUACUUGCUAUGGACUAAGAUAUCAUUCUAUAAUUGCAGUCCACAUUGGAGGAUGUUCACGGACUUUUGCCGGAGGCUGAGGAUCAUGAAGGGUUCAGAGGCACUUGGACUUGGAUAAUGUGAAACAUCAAACUCAUUUUCUAUCACGCAAACUAGCAAAAGUUGUCUUGUUGAGUAUGGAAGUUGUUGCUCAGUCAAUGGGAUCUAAGACUCACAUUCAUAAUUAAAAGAUCCUGUUCAAGAUCCAGAUCUUCCAAGCGUUCGGCGAGUUCGAGUUCCUAGCUCUAAUUUUGAACAAUGGUUCGAUCGAAAAGAUUGAGGGAUCAUGAAGUCACAAAUCUUGUGCUGGAUGAAUCUCAAACAAAUGGUGAUGAC